rnacentral:lncRNA from 1 species
CUAUUUAUAGGCUCACAAGUGUUAAAACUAUGUCCCUUAGGUCGGCUUCACCUUAGUUAAGUUAACUUAACUAUGGUGAAGGUUAAACCUUGCAAGUGACUGUCCAAGCUCUUAAGGUGCUUUAGAAACCUUUUCUUGAGUGUCAAGUGAAGGUUUCUAGAGUUCCUUUGAGUUAUUUUUAUUCUAUUCUAAAAUUGGCUCAAGAAUAUAAAGGCUAAAGA